CACGUAGGGCGCAAGCGUUUGUCCGGAAUUAUUGGGCGUAAAGAGCUCGUAGGCGGUCUGUUGCGUCCGCUGUGAAAACUCGGGGCUUAACCCCGAGCCUGCAGUGGAUACGGGCAGACUAGAGGUAGGUAGGGGAGAAUGGAAUUCCCGGUGUAGCGGUGAAAUGCGCAGAUAUCAGGAGGAACACCAAUUGCGAAGGCAGCUCGCUGGGACGUAACUGACGCUGAGACGCGAAAGCGUGGGGAGCAAACAGG
rnacentral:rRNA from 1 species